GCGGAGCUGCCCGGUGCGUCAGGCAAGACAUCCCCUGGGCCGUUAAGCACUUCCCUCGGGAGCUGGCUCUGUCCGGGCCCUGGUCCGGAUAUCUGGCACCCACCUGCACUUGCAGGCCUUGGGAGGAUGCAAACGCCAACGGCCAGGGUGGCUCCACC
rnacentral:other from 2 species